CACGUAGGCACCAAGCGUUGUCCGGAAUUACUGGGCGUAAAGGGCUCGUAGGCGGCCAACUAAGUCAGACGUGAAAUCCCCAGGCUCAACCUGGGAACUGCGUCUGAUACUGGAUGGCUUGAAUCCGGGAGAGGGAUGCAGAAUUCCAGGUGUAGCGGUGAAAUGCGUAGAUAUCUGGAGGAAUACCGGUGGCGAAGGCGGCAUCCUGGACCGGCAUUGACGCUGAGGAGCGAAAGCCAGGGGAGCAAACGGG
rnacentral:rRNA from 1 species